rnacentral:rRNA from 1 species
CGUGUAGGCGGUGCGGUAAGUUGGGCGUGAAAUCCCCGGGCUUAACCCGGGGGGGCCGUUCAAGACUGCCGCGCUAGGGUGCGGGAGAGGGCAGUGGAAUUCCCGGUGUAGCGGUGAAAUGCGUAGAUAUCGGAAGGAACACCUGCGGCGAAGGCGGCUGCCUGGACCGUAACCGACGCUGAGGCGCGAAAGCUAGGGGAGCAAACAGGAUUAGAUACCCUGGUAGUCCUAGCCCUAAACGUUGAACACUGGGUGUAGCCCCUCACGGGGCUGUGCCGAAGCUAACGCAUUAAGUGUUCCGCCUGGGGAGUACGGUCGCAAGGCUGAA